AGACAUGUUUUCUAGGGUUCCGCAUGCGUCACAUGGUCUGGUCCGAGAGAAAACACAUAUGCGGACAUAUCCCCGCAUAUGCACACGGAGGGAAAAAAGCCCGGGAGAG
rnacentral:sRNA from 2 species